rnacentral:rRNA from 1 species
GAUGAACGCUGGCGGCGUGCUUAAUACAUGCAAGUCGAGCGAACGGACGAGAAUCUUGCUUCACUGACGUUAGCGGCGGACGGGUGAGUAACACGUGGAUAACCUACCUAUAAGACUGGGAUAACUUCGGGAAACCGGCGCUAAUACCGUAUAAUAUUUUGAACCGUAUGGUUCAAAAGUGAAAGACGGUCUUGCUGUCACUUAUAGAUGGAUCUGCGCUGCAUUAGCUAGUUGGUAAGGUAACGGCUUACGAAGGCAACGAUGCAUAGCCGACCUGAGAGGGUGAUCGGCCACCCUGGAACUGAGCCACGGUCCGGACUCCUACGGGAGGCAGCAGUAGGGAAUGUUCCGCAGUGGGCGAAAGCCUGGCGGAACAACGCCGCGUGUGUUAUGAAGGUCUUCGGAUCGUAAAACUCUGCUUUUAGGGAAGAACAUAUGUGUAAGUAACUGUGCACAUCUUGACGGUACCUAAUCAAAAAGCCACGGCUAACUACGUG